AAAGCUCACACACCCUCACAUACCUAAAAUGGUUGGAUGACUCUUUAACAGUGGUGUUAAAAUACAAACUAGCUGCUUCUUCUUUCCAAGCACACCGACAGGCAUAGCCCCACUUGCAACAGGCAUUGGACAGUCCCACCACAACAUCCCGUCCUUUUCUAUCUUCACUUCGGAGAGCCUCCAAGACCUCUCCCAAGAUUGGCGAGCGAGCCAAGCGGCUGAAUCCAGCGGCGACAGAUGCUACAUCAAAUGUCGGGUCCUUCCAUACGUUGGAUUGUGCAGGAUCCUGCUCACUGGCCAUUUGAGGGAAAUGAUUUGGAUUCCAUUGGUCAAAAGCCUCAUUUCCAAUAAGAGCUGAUAUGAAGAGAAAUUACAAUUUAUUUUAGAAUGAAUAAUUUUAUAGACGACUUACUUCACUUUACAGGCAGUCUUACCUGCAUCUCCAAUGCUUCUCCUCCAGCGAGAGCCACCACAGGUAAAAAUGACAGCACGUAUAAAUUCUCUACCGCACAGUUUCAUUCCAUAGAAAGAGGUAUGGGCUUCACUCGGCCGUACCUUGCCUACCAGUGCCACCAAGAAACACAAUGUCAGGAGUGCUGCCUUCCACAUGUUCCUCAAAAAUCUGCUGUCGUUGUCUCACUGUCCAGAAAAGGUCUCGACAAACCCAAAUGAGGUACCUAUUUGCUGACUGUUUCAUUUUGGACAUCUUAUAUAGGCCUCGGUUUCUCAGAGAAGCACCUUUGGUCUUUAUCACAUCCAAAGAUAAGAGCUGAGACCUUUUGGGGAAACAAUGCACAUCCAGUAACAGAAAAGUUCUGGGAAUAUAGCAAAUGAUGCCACAGGUGACGUCAACAGAGUGCUCUGCAAUCUAAUCACCUGUGACCUUUUAUUUGGCCUUUCUGCCCUCACUAUAGUUUUUGUGCUUUGUGUGACACACAACAAUAUCUCAUUCAUGGCAUCUUCUCAACAAGAAAUUGAAUAGAGAUCACUUUCUCAUCAGUUUAGGUUGCUCAACAUCUCUGGUAACUCUUGUUUGGUCUGUCUGUUAUGCACAGACAUGAAUGCUCAUACACACAUUCAACACUGUUGCAUGGUCUAAAGAAUUACAAUCCUACCCUGAAACUUUAAAGUAUAGUAAACAAUAUGAUACAAACUGACUUUUAAUUCAUUAUAUACAAAUAUUUGGGAGUGCAUUGCUGCCCAUGAAGUGUGAAAUUAUGCAACAUAGUAAUGUUUUUAUUCGCUGCCCAUUUCCGAAAAUUCGUCUACUAGCAAGCAGCUCUGAAUUUUGUCAAAUUGUAAUCAAUUUGCGUUUGGCAGUGUGUCCACUGCAUGCGCCAAAUGCAUGCAUCUGACAAGAGUAAUUCCAUGGCUAAGUCAUAUAGUGUUGAUGAGUGAAAUGCUUUCAUUGUCUCUCGUGCUCUGAGCUGUUCAUAUUCACACUUUUAGAGCAAGUCGACAAUAUCUCUUAGCCUUGGGCCUGGUCACCAUGGUAACAAAAGCCAUUCUAAUGUUGGCUUACCUCACAAUGAUGGCUGAGUGAGCAGUGGCUCAUUUAAGAAAACCAAAUAAUUUCAACUGGGGUAUUAAAAAUGGAUUCUAAGUGUGCUAUUAUUCUCGUCCUAUGUUGAUCUUGAUGAACGCAUGUUGGAGAACUUUUAUUUGUGGAAA